rnacentral:rRNA from 1 species
GAUGAACGCUGGCGGCGUGCUUUACACAUGCAAGUCGAACGAUGAUGGGGAGCUUGCUCCCUGGAUUAGUGGCGAACGGGUGAGUAACACGUGAGUAACCUGCCCCAGACUCUGGGAUAACUCCGGGAAACCGGGGCUAAUACUGGAUAUGACACUUCCACGCAUGUGGUGGUGUGUAAAGGAUUCUGGUCUGGGAUGGACUCGCGGCCUAUCAGCUUGUUGGUGGGGUAGUGGCCUACCAAGGCUUUGACGGGUAGCCGGCCUGAGAGGGUGACCGGCCACACUGGGACUGAGACACGGCCCAGACUCCUACGGGAGGCAGCAGUGGGGAAUAUUGCACAAUGGGCGAAAGCCUGAUGCAGCGACGCCGCGUGAGGGAUGACGGCCUUCGGGUUGUAAACCUCUUUCAGCAGGGAAGAAGCGAAAGUGACGGUACCUGCAGAAGAAGCGCCGGCUAACUACGUGCCAGCAGCCGCCGUAAAAC